rnacentral:rRNA from 1 species
CCUACGGGAGGCAGCAGUGGGGAAUCUUGCGCAAUGGGCGAAAGCCUGACGCAGCCAUGCCGCGUGAAUGAUGAAGGUCUUAGGAUUGUAAAAUUCUUUCACCGGGGACGAUAAUGACGGUACCCGGAGAAGAAGCCCCGGCUAACUUCGUGCCAGCAGCCGCGGUAAUACGAAGGGGGCUAGCGUUGCUCGGAAUUACUGGGCGUAAAGGGAGCGUAGGCGGAUAGUUUAGUCAGAGGUGAAAGCCCAGGGCUCAACCUUGGAAUUGCCUUUGAUACUGGCUAUCUUGAGUAUGGGAGAGGUAUGCGGAACUCCGAGUGUAGAGGUGAAAUUCGUAGAUAUUCGGAAGAACACCAGUGGCGAAGGCGGCAUACUGGCCCAUUACUGACGCUGAGGCUCGAAAGCGUGGGGAGCAAACAGGAUUAGAUACCCUGGUAGUCCACGCUGUAAACGAUGAGUGCUAGUUGUCGGCAUGCAUGCAUGUCGGUGACGCAGCUAACGACAUUAAGACGACCGUCCGCCGUCGGGGAGGGUACGGGUCGGCGAAGUAAGUUAAAACUUAACGAAAGGUAAAGUUAGUUACGGCGUUGAGGACGUGCCGACGGACGACCGACGAGGGGAGGAGG